AGAAGGACCGCACCAAGUACAUCACUACCUUGCUGAUGCUUCACAGGGAUGGAACAGACUCGAAGUAGGCUACUGCAAAUUCACGUGAUGACGAUAAAACCUACAUGGAAUUUGAACCCUGGUCUGAAGAUGUACAAGAAAUUGUGAUGUCAUCAUGACAUCACCUCAGGUUGUUAACUUGUUGAAUGCCUUGUACACGCUGUUCAACGCCUUCAUUUCCAACUAUGACGUCUAAAAGGUUGAAAGUAUCGAUGAUGCCUACAUGUUGGUCUCCUGCCUACUGAUCCGUAAUGGCAGCCGUCAUGCUGGUAUGAUCGCCUCCACUGCAUGGCAUCUCCUGGAGGGCGUUGAUAGUUGAUCAUGCCACACAAACUGACAAGAUGAGAAACUCAAACUCCUCAUCGGUAUUCACUCAGGGCAAAGGUGAAAGCCUGACGUACUGGCUCGAGGGACAUGAUCCAAGCUACAAGAUCGACCAAAUCAAGCCACCCAAACAAAACUUGUAAACAACCAGAAUAUUAUCCCAACAUUAUCUGCAACGCAUUUGGAUCAGCAAUUUUUUGUAAAGAGGUGAUGGCAGAUCUACCAGCUCACUUCACAUCAGAGAGCUCUCUUGAGAAGCACUAUAGAAG